AGGAGAGGGCGGAGCUGGCCGCGGGACGGAGGCACCUGGAGGCCCGCCAGGCGCUCUACGCCGAGCUCCAGACGCAGCUCGAUAACUGCCCCGAGUCAGUGCGGGAACAGUUACAGGAGCAGCUGAGAAGGGAGGCAGACGCUCUAGAGACUGAGACAAAGCUCUUUGAGGACCUGGAGUUCCAGCAGCUGGAGCGGGAGAGUCGCGUGGAGGAGGAGCGGGAGUUGGCCGGCCAAGGGCUGCUUCGCAGCAAGGCUGAGUUGCUGCGCAGCGUGAGCAAGAGAAAGGAGCGCCUAGCUGUACUGGACAGUCAGGCUGGGCAGAUCCGGGCCCAAGCAGUACAGGAGUCAGAGCGUCUGGCCCGGGAAAAGAAUGCUGUCC
rnacentral:lncRNA from 1 species